GUGGACCCCCAUCAAACUUGGAUUUUGUAGGUAGUUGCGAAUGAACACAAAUUUGAUCACUUUGGCAAUCUGUACACAUUGCUGUGUAACAAUUUGUAUACGUUGGCACAGUGCUAUCAAAGCUGCAUGCAAGUGUUUUUUGAAAGGAUACAACAUGGGAUGUGAUAUUCAUGUGUGUGUGCCUGCUUUGUCCACAGCCUGUGCUGUAUGAAUCACAUUUCUUGCAACUGAAAUGCUAAUGGCAUGGUAAAGUUCAUGUGACAUGACACAAGCUUGAGAUUCAUGAUGUGCAAGUACCAUGAGGGAAAUGUGAAAAGGACUUUGGAAAGAGAAUUAAAUAAAGCCUGCAUUUGCUGACAAUGAAAGCAAGUGUGGAUGUUCAUGUAAUUGUUACUGCAUCAAUCAAUGUUCAUCUUGGUUACUGCAUGCUUUAUAUUACAGCUCAGAACAUGAAGUGUGUGUAACAGCUCUGCUUUGAUUUUUCCCACAUGGGAUCAGUUGAAACAUUGUGAGAGCACUCUUCAGUUUCCUUAUGUACCCACCAGCUUUGUCCACUCGCGUGUUGGCACACAUGUAAUGAUGAUGUGUUUAUGCAAGAUACUUCUGUGCUCAACAACAUGUUGUGUCAAUCCUCACUUG
rnacentral:rRNA from 1 species